UUUAUUUGACACCGUUGAUUUUUUAAGCACAUGUUUGACCGCUCGUCUCAUUCAAAAAAUUUUAAUAAUUAUUAAUUCUUUUCCUAUCAUUUGAUUCAUUGUUAAAUACAUUUUUAUGCAUAUGUAUAGUUUUACAUAUUUCACAAAAGUUUUUGAAUAAGACGAACGGUCAAACAUGUGCUAAAAAAUCAACGGUGUCAAAUAAA
rfam:Oryza barthii chromosome 12, whole genome shotgun sequence.